UAAAACAUUAUUUUAUAUGAUAAAUUAAAAAAUAUACAUAAAUUCAUUUGAUAUUUAAAAAAGUUUCAAAAAUAAAUAAGCAUUGAGCCGCCCCAGUUGACUAGUAAAACAGUGAAAGAAAUUAAGAAAAUUAACAGUUAUGUGUAAAACGUCUAGGUUGUGGUAAUCGGAACACGGCGUUACGUCAAGUGAUGAUUAUAGUGGUGACGUGGUACAAGGGUUCCAUGUACAGAAAUAAUUGGAUGCACUAUUUUCUUAUUAAUUUUUUAGUUAAUUGUUUGAGAUGGAAAUCUUUCUUUGUUGGAUAAGUUGGGUUAAACAAUGUUUAAUAAUUUUUAGUGUUCUUGUUUGGUCACCAAAUUAUAAAAUGAAGUUUUAACGAAAAACUCACUGUAUUGUUCACUUUAACGAAAAAUC
rnacentral:lncRNA from 1 species